GAUGAACGCUGGCGGCGUGCCUAAUACAUGCAAGUCGAACGAAUCUUCUUCGGAAGAUGAGUGGCGAACGGGUGAGUAAUGCGUAGGUAACCUGCCCCUGUGCGGGGGAUAACAGGAGGAAACUCCUGCUAAUACCGCAUAGCCAUGAGCACCGCAUGGAGCUCAUGCCAAAUAUCCUUUCGGGGAUAGCGCAGGGAUGGACCUAUGGCGCAUUAGCUGGUUGGCGGGGCAACGGCCCACCAAGGCAACGAUGCGUAGCCGGCCUGAGAGGGCGGACGGCCACAUUGGGACUGAGACACGGCCCAGACUCCUACGGGAGGCAGCAGUAGGGAAUUUUCGGCAAUGGGGGAAACCCUGACCGAGCAACGCCGCGUGAGCGAAGAAGGCCUUCGGGUCGUAAAGCUCUGUUGUAAAGGAAGAACGGCGCAUACAGGAAAUGGUAUGCGAGUGACGGUACUUUACCAGAAAGCCACGGCUAACUACGUGCCAGCCGCCGCAGUAA
rnacentral:rRNA from 1 species